CCGUUGAUACUGCGGGUCUUGAGUAAGGUAGAAGUGGCUGGAAUAAGUAGUGUAGCGGUGAAAUGCAUAGAUAUUACUUAGAACACCAAUUGCGAAGGCAGGUCACUAUGUCUUAACUGACGCUGAUGGACGAAAGCGUGGGGAGCGAACAGGAUUAGAUACCCUGGUAGUCCACGCCGUAAACGAUGCUAACUCGUUUUUGGGUUUUCGGAUUCAGAGACUAAGCGAAAGUGAUAAGUUAGCCACCUGGGGAGUACGUUCGCAAGAAUGAAACUCAAAGGAAUUGACGGGGGCCCGCACAAGCGGUGGAUUAUGUGGUUUAAUUCGAUGAUACGCGAGGAACCUUACCAAGGCUUAAAUGGGAAUUGACAGGCUCAGAAAUGGGUUUUUCUUCGGACAAUUUUCAAGGUGCUGCAUGGUUGUCGUCAGCUCGUGCCGUGAGGUGUUAGGUUAAGUCCUGCAACGAGCGCAACCCCUGUCACUAGUUGCCAUCAUUCAGUUGGGGACUCUAGUGAGACUGCCUACGCAAGUAGAGAGGAAGGUGGGGAUGACGUCAAAUCAUCACGGCCCUUAUGUCUAGGGCUGCAAACAUGCUACAAUGGCCGGUACAAACAGGUACAGAGGGCAGCUACACAGCGAUGUGAUGCGAAUCUCGAAAGCCUGUCUCAGUUCGGAUUGGAGUCUGCAACUCGACUCUAUGAAGCUGGAAUCGCUAGUAAUCGCGCAUCAGCCAUGGCGCGGUGAAUACGUUCCCGGGCCUUGUACACACCGCCCGUCAAGCCAUGGAAGUCUGGGGUACCUGAAGUCGGUGACCGUAAAAGGAGCUGCCUAGGGUAAAACAGGUAACUAGGGCUAAGUCGUAACAAGGUAGCCGUACCGGAAGGUGCGGCUG
rnacentral:rRNA from 1 species